rnacentral:rRNA from 1 species
GACGAACGCUGGCGGCGUGCUUAACACAUGCAAGUCGAACGGUAAGGCUCCAGCUUGCUGGGGUACACGAGUGGCGAACGGGUGAGUAACACGUGGGUGACCUGCCCUGCACUUCGGGAUAAGCCUGGGAAACUGGGUCUAAUACCGGAUAGGACCGCACCGUGAGGGUGUGGUGGAAAGUUUUUUCGGUGUGGGAUGGGCCCGCGGCCUAUCAGCUUGUUGGUGGGGUAAUGGCCUACCAAGGCGGCGACGGGUAGCCGGCCUGAGAGGGUGGACGGCCACAUUGGGACUGAGACACGGCCCAGACUCCUACGGGAGGCAGCAGUGGGGAAUAUUGCACAAUGGGCGGAAGCCUGAUGCAGCGACGCCGCGUGGGGGAUGACGGCCCUCGGGUUGUAAACUCCUUUCACCAUCGACGAAGGGUUUCUGACGGUAGAUGGAGAAGAAGCACCGGCUAACUACGUGCCAGCAGCCGCGGUAAUACGUAGGGUGCGAGCGUUGUCCGGAAUUACUGGGCGUAAAGAGCUCGUAGGUGGUUUGUCGCGUCGUCUGUGAAAUUCCGGGGCUUAACUCCGGGCGUGCAGGCGAUACGGGCAUAACUUGAGUACUGUAGGGGAGACUGGAAUUCCUGGUGUAGCGGUGAAAUGCGCAGAUAUCAGGAGGAACACCGGUGGCGAAGGCGGGUCUCUGGGCAGUAACUGACGCUGAGGAGCGAAAGCAUGGGGAGCGAACAGGAUUAGAUACCCUGGUAGUCCAUGCCGUAAACGGUGGGCGCUAGGUGUGGGUUUCCUUCCACGGGAUCCGUGCCGUAGCUAACGCAUUAAGCGCCCCGCCUGGGGAGUACGGCCGCAAGGCUAAAACUCAAAGGAAUUGACGGGGGCCCGCACAAGCGGCGGAGCAUGUGGAUUAAUUCGAUGCAACGCGAAGAACCUUACCUGGGCUUGACAUAUACAGGAUCGCGCCAGAGAUGGUGUUUCCCUUGUGGCUUGUAUACAGGUGGUGCAUGGUUGUCGUCAGCUCGUGUCGUGAGAUGUUGGGUUAAGUCCCGCAACGAGCGCAACCCUUGUCUUAUGUUGCCAGCACGUUGUGGUGGGGACUCGUAAGAAACUGCCGGGGUUAACUCGAAGGAAGGUGGGGAUGACGUCAAAUCAUCAUGCCCCUUAUGUCCAGGGCUUCACACAUGCUACAAUGGUCGGUACAGUGGGUUGCCAGUCCGUGAGGGCGAGCUAAUCCCGCAAAGCCGGUCUCAGUUCGGAUCGGGGUCUGCAACUCGACCCCGUGAAGUCGGAGUCGCUAGUAAUCGCAGAUCAGCAACGCUGCGGUGAAUACGUUCCCGGGCCU